GAAGGGGACUCGGCCGCCAUGUUAGGAGUGCUAGGACGUUUCUGCGGAGCUGGCUGAGGUUUUAGGGAACGCGGGAGCCGAGUGGUGGUGCAGAGGGGACGAGUCUGUCUACACUAUGAAAAGAUGGGAAAUUUCUUUCUUCCUGAGGGUGUCCGAAGGGCUAAAAAUGCCGAUAUAUUUGUGCUGUUUUUCUCCUUUCCUUUUGUGUAUUAUCCUGAAAAACAAAAUUAACUGACACUUUGGGUCAUUAGGGGUAUGCACUUCACUUGUUAGGAGUUAAAAUUAUAGCUGAUAAAUGGAUUAUCGUAUCAAGGAAAGACUAGGCAGAGUGAUUAUAAACGACAAAAGCAUCGUCCAAAAACAUGUCUCAAAUGUAUGCAGAUGAUAACUACAAAAACAGUUUUAUAAAGAAUCAUCUUAUAUAUGUCAUGUUUCUGGGAACAAGGCAGAUGAGUGGCUUUGUUUCAUUUUUAAACAAAGGUAGUAUGUAUUGGCCUCACUUAUCCAUGGAUACAACAAUGGGAAGAGCUUAUGAAAUUAUUUGUUAUUCAGAAAUACCUUCUUUGCAAAUAAUGUUGGUAAGUAUAGGAAAAGGUACAGAAUGUUUACUAUUUUCUUUCUGAUCAUCAGUAUAACUAUAGACGUGUUUUAAGCAUAAUAGAGAUGAAAUAGACUGAACAGGUUUACAUUUAGGCUUAGUUUCAAACUCUUACAAAUUAUUCUUAGGGCUUGGUGAUUCAGGGGUGGUAUUGUGUCUUAUAUGAACUUAUGUUGUUCAUUUUAUAAUACUUCUUUAUGUAAGCAAUAACCUCAAUUUGAGUUACUAUGGAAGACAAAUGGCGGGGGGUUGGGGGGAGGGACCCAGCAGAUUUCACAGAAAUACUGUAUGUGAGAAAUGAGACCUGUAUAAUGUAGUGAUUUCUAUAAUUUGUCAUGUGAUUGGAUAGUUAGAAAUUUUUCCAGCCUUAUAUCCAAUGGACAUCUAACCAUAAAGAAAUGAAACAAGUCUAGUUACUAUCUCAAAAAACAACUCCAUGACCCUUAACUUUUAGAAAAAAAAAUUAUGUAUUCUGUGUAGAAAUUUCAUUUAAAAAAUUAGUAUUAGAGGAAUUGAUGAUGCCAGCUUCUGAAAGAAUAACCUCAGUGUCCCAGAGGAAAAACUGGGUUAGAAAGCUGAAAAGUGGAAUUAGGAAUGCCUUAAGUAAAUAAAGAAAUCUACCUUCUUUUUCUCUCAAAAGGGAAUUAGGACAUUGAUUUGUAUUAUAAUUAUAGGUAGUUCAUUAAAAUGUAUUGAGUUAGUUGCUAUUAUAUCAAGGGUUUUUUCAACAGGGUCAAGUGUCUGGAACACCUGUAGAACUCUAGAAGUGUGUAGCUUUUGCCCACCAUUCAUCCAGCUGAAUUAUUGUCCAGGGUUGUAACCAGCUGUUGUGUAUUUUUAAAACACUAGAGGUGAGUGCACAGGGGUGGGGUAGAGCAGCCUUCCACAUCCCAUAUUUAUGGUUUUUUGUGGUGUGUCACACAAGUAAUAACAAAGUUUUGGCAAGGAUUUUAGGUUUAUUACUAAAUAUAUUCAUAAAUGAAUUUUGAAGAUGUGUAGAUGACCUAGGGAUCAAUUUAUGCAUGGUGUGGAGGAGGGGACAUCAAUUUUAGCUUUAAGAAUACCACAAUAUCCUGACUUCCUGGAUAUUUCUUUUUUUUUUUUUUUUUUUUUUUUUUUGCUGUAUGCGGGCCUCUCACUGUUGUGGCCUCUCCCGUUGCGGAGCACAGGCUCCGGACGCGCAGGCUCAGCGGCAAUGGCUCACGGGCCCAGCCGCUCCGCGGCAUGUGGGAUCUUCCUGGACCGGGGCACGAACCCGCAUCCCCUGCAUCGGCAGGCGGACUCUCAACCACUGCGCCACCAGGGAAGCCCUGGAUAUUUCUUAGAGUGCGGGUUUAGUCUAAUACGAAGAAAGUCUGAUCAUAAGAGACAACCAGUAAGAGCUCAAAGCUAUGACAGAAUUAUGGUAAAGUUACUCAGAUAUUUAAAAGAAACUGAAGUAUCUAGACAGAGGCAAAAAGAUAUUAGAAUUUUCUGAAAAUAAUUUUUCUUUAACUCCUUGCCCUAAAUCCUAAUUUUUUUAAGUUAUUGAUGUUAUUGUAGUAUUCUUGGUAUUUGGGUACAUGAUAUAUAAGGUAUCUUUUUUUUAGCUCAAAAUUCUUUGACUCAUUACUACAUUUGUGAUCUUUUCAUUCAAAGUCAUGUAACAUUCUUUCAUUCAUAUCUGCUAAAGGAUAAAGACAAGACAAAGAGAACAAGCAUAUGAAAAUUUUAAAGCAGCCCCAAGAGUCAAACUCAAUAAGUCUUCCUUCAGAGGAGGGAGGUCCUCUUGGAGAUGGUAUAUGAAGACUGACUUUAGUGUGUUGGACAGUAAUAUUAGUGGCCUUUCUGGACUCCUGUUGCUUCAGUUUUAAAUCUAUCUUGAAUAGCUUGCUAAUUUUUUACAGAAAUUCGUAACAUUCUAAGCGUCAGUGGUAAUAGCAGCCUCAUGGGGGUGAUGGUUAGGAUUAAACAAAGUUAUGUAAAGCAUGUAGCAGAGGACUUUGGAACAUGUAAGUUUCUUGUGGAUUUUUUAAAUUUUUAAAAAGUAGUCUCAAAGUACUUAGGACCCAAGGACAGGGAUUACCUCAGCUGAACUCUUAGCAAUUUGUUGAUGAGUCAAACUUGUAUGACCAAAUUGUUAGGAAAAUACAGUUCCAGUUUUUCCUUUGAUAAAGUGAUGAUAUAGGGCAACAGUUUUUUUCAGCCCAUACCACGUAAGGAAUGUAAAAUUCUUUGUUAUUGAGAUCGUGUUAGUGCCUGGGGUGGCUGAAGUCAAAAAAAUUACGAUAAAAUUUUGUGUUCUUGUAUCGUUUGAAAAAUCCCGACAGUUGAUUAUGAAAAUUAGGCCCUGUCUUUACUGAGGAUCAGUGUAGUUAAUUCUGUAAAAGAUGAUGUCCUAAAUUAUGAAAAAUGUUAGAAUUGUUUCAUGCCUUCAGAGUUCUAAAAUGCUUUUAUAUUUUAAGAUAUGAAAUUUGAGAGAACAGCCGUCAGUUAUGUUGUCCACCUGUCUGUGUCUCUUCCAAAAUAGAAUCAAUUUUCUUAGCAUUCUCAGAAAUGAAAUGCCGGCAACCCAAAGGUGAUGUAAACCCAGCAGUUACAGUAAGAAUUAUUUUAAGCUGAUCACAGAAUUGAGACAAGCUAACUUAAGGGGGAAAAUGAAAAACAUUUUACCAACAAUUAUCUUUAUAUUAUAAUUAUAGCUUUAUAUUGAGUUAAAUGUUUUCAACAGCGUGUAUUUUUAAAGUAGACACAGAUGAGCCUGUCAUACAGGGUUCAGCAGUUGUAGUUUCUCCAGGGAAGAUCUUUAACUCAUUCAGCAAACUUUAAUGUUUCAUAUUUUAAGCAUUUUACUUUAACAACAUUCAGAAAACUAAAACGUAUGUUUUCUAGUCUUGUUUAGUUGACCCACUGUUGUGUUUGUAACAAGUUGGCAUAAUUUUACCUGCUGGGUUUAAUAUGCCACAAAAGGUAUAUGUAGUAAAUAUAAAUAUCGCAAUGUCAGGAUGCAAAAUCAAGAUGCUCAUAGCUAAUGAUUAACCAGAAAAGUGAGCCCUCUAUCCUAUGAUUUUUUAUUUCUCAGUUUUUAAUAGGUUUGGAUAAUUAAAGUGGCACUAGAAAAACAUUUCUUUGCAAGAAUAUGGACUUAAUCCAAUAUAAAUAUGUUCAUGAAUAUAGCCACUUAAGGAAAGUGCAGAGAUAUACAAUUGUAAGCAAUUAAUGUACAGUAAGUUGGUACAUAUUCAUAAUUCUUAAUUUGAUAUGGACUGUUUGAUGGUGAUGUAUGUUAUUGAACUUGCUGUAAAGGUUAGUCCUCAGUGAGUUCUGUCUUAAAACAUUUUAGGAAAUGUUCGUCAGAGUCACCCUCUUUACACCUAAGUCAUGAUUUGAUGAAUUUGGCACAUAGGUGCUUGUAAAUGGAACAGCUUGGAGACUUUUGAGCUACUCCACCACCAUAAGAUAAAGUUCAGUAACCAUAACCCUUAGCAUAACCUAAAUGAUAAUAUUUUUUCACCUUUGAGCCAAAAUAAAACUCAGCUUUCCUCCUUCUUUACCCUGCACCACCAGACUUUUAGUCAUUAAUGUAGUAUUAAGUGGGAUCUUUCAUAGUUUCUUGGCAGUUGUCCCCAUUGAACUGGACAGCAUUUAUGCUAUUGGCUCGGUGUUAGCAUAUGUAGAGCCAUUUUCUUGUGAAUGUUUCAUAAUAUCUUAUAUACAAGACAAAAAUUAUAGAAAAACUUAUUUUUUAAACAUGCUGAAAUAAAGCAGUUGCCUAAGUGGUGAUGUACAAAAGUAUACAAUUGCAAAUAACGUUAACAUAGUAGAGUACUUCAUUACAAUUGCUAAGCUGCAACUAAACAUCUUACAUAAGUGAUAUAAAUGACCUUUACCAGUCCUAUACUAUUUCAGUGAAAUACUUUCCUAAUAAUAGGAUGGUACAGCAUUUACUCUGUCCCAAAAAUUGAGAAUGCAGUGAAAAUUGAGUGCUUUUUUGUUUGUUUUUUGUAUUUCAAAUCGGCAGAUGUUUAUUGAGCAUCUACUAUGUACAAGAAAGAUACUUUUCUAAUACUGCAAUGGAUUAAAACAAACAAAUCUGAAAUAACAGUUCCUUCCACCAAAAACUCCAUCAAAAAACAUAAGAUACCUCUGAAGUAAUCAACACAGUUCUAUAUGUGUUUGUAAUACCCUUUGGGGAAUUAAGCAACAUUUACUAAACACCUAAGCAUAUCAGAGUGACCUGUUAGCAAGCAUUCUAAACAGAACGAUCUGAAAUAUUAAAGUAACAACGCAGAACUGACAAAUAUUAGUCUAUUAACAAAGAUUUGAUGAAUGAAUAAAGAAAUCCAUACGAACUACUAAAAGGAAGGCUUCAAAGGUGCUUCAGAGGAGAUGGAUUUUCUUCUUGGCUAAAUAAAACAUGAUAGAAAUGCUGGUCCUUUUCUGGGGUUCGGCUUACUAAAAAGCCUAUACUUGGAGUUUAUGACGUUUUUCUUUGAGCUUGGGAUAUUAAAGUUGCAAAGGUUGGAGAGUUCUGACGUAAAGCCUGAGGACAGCUAGGUGGAUUGGUUGAAAUCUGGUCCCUGAGAUGAAGGGACAGAAAUGUGCUGUUCUGGGCCCAGCAUGGGUAACACAUCUGUAGGAAGAAAAUUGGCCUGGAAGGCAAGAAACCUUGGUUGAAAAGUUGAUUUUGAUACUAACCUGCAGUCUCAGUUUUUUAAAGGUCAUUUGAAAUCUAAGUACAUGAAGUACUGUUUUUGAUGGUGAACUUUACAUUUAUUUAUUUAACAUUUGGCAAGCUCAAUGGAAGAAUCUCCAUUUCAACCCUGCUUUGUUUACUCUUUGUAUCUUUAAUAUUGGGUAUUAUGCCUCUUGAGUUUCAGUCCCAUGACUAUUCUGUUUUCAGUAUUCAUGUUUUUGUCUUUCUAAAAUUGUUUGCUUCUUUGUUUCUUACUAGUCCUGAGAUAAUUUAUGAGCAAUUAUUGUAGCAUUUCAUCUGGCAGUGUAUUUGCCUAAGAUGGGUUGCUGGAUUUUCUUGUUUUCCGGAUAAACUCUGCACUCUCGUCUUUCUCAUUCUUGGAAUCCAUUUUGCAUUCGUUGCAGUUCUGGGUUCUUGUAUGGAAAUUCUAAUAUUUAUGGAGUACUGAGAGGAAGCCAGAUUUCAGGAGUUUAAGGAGUGAGUGAAAGGAAUGGGGAAAGAAGUAGGCACUGCAUGUAGAUAAUUUUUAAGAAGUUUGGCUCCAGGGCUUCCCUGGUGGCGCAGUGGUUGAGAGUCCGCCUGCCGAUGCAGGGGACACGGGUUUGUGCCCAGGUCCGGGAGGAUCGCACAUGCGGAGCGGCUGGGCCCGUAAGCCAUGGCCACUGAGCCUGCGCGUCCGGAGCCUGUGCUCUGCAACAGGAGAGGCCACAACGGUGAGAGGCCCGCGUAUCGGGGGGGGAAAAAAAAAGAAGUUUGGCUCCAAAAGAGGUAAGAAAUAAGAGUUUACAGAGGGCAUGUGGGAUUGAAAGAGGGUUUAUAUUUAAAUCUUCCUACUUCGGGGUCAAAAUCACAUCUACUUCACGCGGUCUGAUCAUUUCCCAAAGGAAUCAGGAGUUAAAAUUCUACCUUGCCCUGAAAUCGGGCCAGGAGGAGAGGAGGAAGAGCUCUGAAGUAUUUUUGUGAUUUUUUUUUUUUUUGUACAUAAUACUCAGCUUUUCAUUUGAUUUGAUUAUUUUUCCUUUCCAGUUUUCAGGUCUUUUCAUUUAACCUAACUUGUACUCCAAGAAUAGUGGUUUUUAUCACAGUUCCAAAAAAAGCAUAGCAAUGACCAUGAGCCUCAGCUUCUUUUGAAAAAUGCCUUGUUCUAAAAGGUGGUGUCUGCCCUUUAUACCUAUAUCAUUAAUUCUUCCUAGCCAGACUGACUGGGAUGAUCUUCACAACCACUUUUAGAAAAAAUGGUGCUCAGUUGAACCAGGAGGUUAGACUUGAACAAGACAUGUCUGUUUCUUGUCCAGCUAAGAUUUUAACAAUGUACAUUUACCUAAAGGAGGAGAAAUCUGAGAUAGUCAAAUUUUUUAGAUUACUUAAAUGAGGAGGGUAUAAUUGUCACAAGGAGAGAAAAGCAACUAACACCUUAGGGCAACCAGGCCCUCCACAAAAGUGGAAAAUACAAUUCUGACUGAUAUGAACUAAAUUUUCCAUAACCUGUACUCACUCUCAUCCCAUUACCCAGUAACGUAAAUGAGCUGCUGUUUCUCUCUGGGAUUUUAACUGGCAGAAUAAAUGGAAAGAUGUCAGCAAAAGAAGGAAGCAGGUAAGACAGAUAAGAUUUUGUAUAAUCAAAAAAUAUAUCAAAGGUGUUGGUUAUUACUAGAUCUUGGCACAGUAACCCAGGUUUCAUUGCUUUCCAUGAGAUGUACCAGAAGAAAUAACCUGAGGUAUUUCCAUGAAAAGAGAAACUUACGGCUACCCGUGAAUUGCUCUGCUAUAAGUUACAUUUUGGAUUGCAGUGCAUAGUGCAAGCCUCCAUACAUCCAGCAAGAUGCCCCAUUUUAGGCUAAAACUUGACUGUCCAGACUAAUAACCUAUUUCUAACAAAUUUAAGACUAUCUCAUAGUCUCCCACCUCUUCAACCAUCUGGAGAGAGGAAAAGAUAAAACAGUGUUACUUGAGUAAUUGUCAUGGGCCCAAAGUUGUACCCAGAUUCAGAAAGUUAUUGGACACCCCUGUUUACUGCUGAGUUGUUUAUUUAAGGUGUUACUUAUUUAAUUGUUAAUUAUUAAUACCUGCUCAGUGGUCUGAUGAAGAUAAACUUCAAAUAGGCUGUUAAUUUACAUACCUGAACCCAUUCUGCCUUUCAGUAAUCUGAGUAGAAACUUAAAAGUUAUGUGUAACACAUCGUAGCUUGAGAGAACCCUAAAUUUCUAGAAUAUAUCUUGAUACUGUGUAAAGUUUACUUAAAAUGCACUUAACAGUUCAAAUAACUGGAAAGUAAUUCCUCUGAUAACACUGGCAAGGACAUGCUAUUAAAAUAUUUUUGUGCUAGUUGAAGUCAAAAUAGACCUACAGCCUAUCUGUCACAUUGUAUGUGUUUAUAUUAUGCAUUAUGAUGGUUAAAUCCACUUAAGAUCACCAUAGGAUCAUGAGAAGUUAAUUUAGUAGUUGAGAGUAUGAGCGUUAGCAAUGGAAAGACCUGGGUUUGAAUCUCAGUACUUAUGUGAUUUGGGGUAUAUUCAUCAGUCUGAGACUUUGGAUCCUAUAAAAAUAGUAUUUGUCAGCUUCAUUGAGUUUUCCAAAGAAUUAAGAAAAUAAUAUGAAAUUUAAUAAGCUCUCAAAAGGCAGUAUAGUGUAGUGGCUUAGAGCAUUGUCUCAGAGCCAGUCAGCCUGGGUUGAAGUCACACUUCUGCCCAUUGUGUUGACCUUGAGCAAGUUAUUUAACUCUGCUUCAGCUUCCAUCUGUGCAGUGGGAAUAGUACCUCCCUCAUUGGCUUGCUGUGAGAAUUGAAUGCAUAUAUAAAGCGGUGUCGCCUGUGAGAUCACUUUUGAGGCAAAAACUAGUUUUUUGCAAAUCUACUCACCAUGUAUUAGGAUUCACUGAAAGUACAUAUAUCCUUCAAAGUUAAACCAUUUUUAAUCAUGAAGAGUAUGAUUCUCUCUGCUUUAGAUGUUAUAAGUUAAUGCCCCAUCAGUUUUAACAGUUUAUCAAAUACCUAGCUUAGUAAAUGAUACCUUAUACGCUAUAUAUUUUAUGCAUAACAUAUGAUAUUCGUACCAUAAUUUAUAAUUAACAGGGAUUCUAUCACAGUUUAAAGAUUGAGAAGAUAAGGAAAGUAUUGUCUAAAAUAAAACCAUUUUCAGGGUUUGGUCUGCAGAUACCUGAAGUGAGUUCAAUCUUUAUGGUUCACUUUAAGAAUGUUAGGUCUGUAAGACAUUCCAAAGGCAUAGCUUGAAAGAACUGCCUUUGAGUCAGGCCUGGGUUCUGGAUUUCUGGUCUAAUAAGCUAGGAAGUAAGGUAUCAGCUUAGGCAAAUUAACUUUUUUUUUUUUUUUUUCCUUGCGGUACGCGGGCCUCUCACUGUUGUGGCCUCUCCCGUUUCGGAGCACAGGCUCCGGACGCGCAGGCUCUGGACACGCAGGCUGAGCGGCCAUGGCUCACAGGCCCAGCCGCUCCGCGGCAUGUGGGAUCUUCGCGGACUGGGGCACAAACCCGUGUCCCCUGCAUCGGCAGGCGGACUCCCAACCACUGCGCCACCAGGGAAGCCCGCAAAUUAACUUUUGAAUCUGUUUCCUUAUCUUUAAAAAUACAGUAACAUUUAACAUAGAACACCAGAUACAUAGGGUUUUUUGGUUUUUUGGCCACGUACCACAUGGCAUGUAGGAUCUUAGUUCCCUGACCAGGGAUCAAACCCACACCCCCUGCAGUGGAAGCACAGAGUCUUAAUCACUACACCACUAGGAAGUCCCUGGGGACCUGUAUUUUUAAGGCACUCACCAUGUGAUUUCCUCUUCACCUACUUUUACUUGAAAGCACCGUGGUAAAUUAACUUGCCAAAGUCAGGCCUCAGUACAUAGGCCCCCUCUCAUUUUUGUGUUCCUAACUACUUUCCAUUGUGCUCACUAUUUCUUAUUGCUGCAAUUCCAAGACACAGUUGCCAAAACUUUUUAAAUGUUUCUUUGUAGGUAUGUUCAAUGAAGAAUGUAAUCCACCCACAUCAAGUAUUGCUUAAUUCAGGUGUAUAAAGUUUAUUUUAGGGAAAUGAACAAAUUAUAUGAUCCAUGUCUUCAUCUAAAGCAUUUGAUUAAAAAAUUUUGAAUAAGAAGCAGCCCUACGGUAUCCUAUUAUAGACAUCCAGAGUGUCAGUAUUUGGGGAUAGGGGGUACUGGUUCAACCAGUUCUAAAUCCAUUUAUUUCGUUCUGUACAUACGUAUUGAUUAGUUACCAAGUUAGAGUCUGUGGAGGUACAAAGAUUACUAUGACCCUUUAGACCAUUAGACUCAACCUUUUACUGUCAUGUACCCCUUGGUCAAUCUAGUGAAGUCUAUGGAUCACUUUUCAGAAAAGUUUAAAAAGCAUAAAAUACAGGGCUUCCCUGGUGGCGCAGUGGUUGAGAGUCCGGCUGCCGUUGCAGGGGACAUGGGUUCGUGCCCCGGUCCGGGAAGAUCCCACAUGCCGCAGAGCGGCUAGGCCCAUGAGCCAUGGCCGCUGAGCCUGCGUGUCCGGAGCCUGUGCACCGCAACGGGAGAGGCCACAACAGUGAGAGGCCCGCGUACCGCAAAAAAAAAAAAAAAAAAAGGCAUAAAAUACAGUAUAUUGGAUAAUAAAGGGAGACAAUGAUAUUGAAAUAAUUAUCCAAAAAAUUUAAAUUUUGGACGUAGAAAUAUGUAUGCUUUAUAAUUCAUUAACAAGCAAGUUGUCUGCAGCAAUCGUAAUAGGAAAACAUCAGAGUUCAGCUGUGACACGUUUACACCUAACACUACUGUGAUCUGUUGCCUGCAUUCAAAUUUUAUUAGAAGUUAUUGAAAAUAGAGAUGUAAUUUUUCCCCAUCCAAUUUCAUGGACCCCUGAAUUCUGACUAUGAACCCCUGAUUAAGAACCCUGGCUAAAUUUUUUAAUAAUAGGAACUUUCUCUGUUUCACUGUUGUACCCAAGACCCAAUUAAGAUCUUUAGAGACCCAAGCACUGAAAAACUUGUGACGCUCUACCUCAUAUAUUCAAAAUCAAAAUAGUUGCACCAUAAAGUGGACUUAAGGAAGUUCUCAAAUUUCUCAUGUUGAGGACAUAGAUACUUUUAGAAGGUACUAAAUUGUCUCCAUUUGUUUCGUGGGGGCAGGCAGGGAAAGAGGCUGCUUUGCUGUUUUCUGAAAGUAUCCAAGCUUGUCUAUAUCUGCUAUACUUGGUACGUGGUUAAGAGCUCGAUAACAGAAUAAAUGAAUGAACCUUUACCAUAAGGGGUUCACGAUUUUAGAGAAUAUUAAAUUCAUCAAGGUAUAACAUGAAAAAAUGGAAUACCAUGCUAGGGAGUACAUGCUCUGCUCCAUAAAUGGACAGAUUAGAGGUGUUUGUAACUAGUAUCUCUUAUAGAUAGAAUGAAAGAAUAGGGCUGGUAUCUUCAAGUGGUCGCACUGGAGUGUAAGCUCCCUGAGGGAAGGAUUUUUGUCGUUUUUCACUGUAUCUGAUAUAUUCCAAAAACCUAGGAAAGUUCCUGGCACGCUCAACUAGUUUAUCCUUACCUAAUCAGCCUCAGAUCUGUGGUACCUCUAUUUCUCUAGACACUGCUCAAACAUUUCAACAUUAACCUACCUGCAACUAUGGAAAUUUUUAAAAAAUACCUCUUCUUCCUUAGACAUUCAAUAAGUGAAUCGAGGGUUAUUGUUCUUCUCAGUAGCAAGCUAGUAAGUACUGCCAUAAAUAUAUGUUUAGCUACCACUUUCAUUCAACAGUACUUCAGGGUAGAAAUCACCUGCAUUUUAAAAUUAAGGGACAAAUCAGCUGAGUGUCACCUGUUAACAAGUAGAGAGGAAUUGAAAAUAGAACCCAGGUUUGUUUGACAUUUUUUAAGUCUACACAAGAACUGCUGCUAGUAUCUUUUGCUUUUAGGUGAAACAAAAAAGGAAAAAGUAAAUGUCCCAGACCUAAGUAGCUUCCAUUUGGCCAAGACUACAAAUGUAGUGUUUUCCCUUCAUUUCCCAAAGAGGUGCAACAACCAUGUGACACCAAGGCCUUUUGAUGACAAAACAGAAGUUCCAUAACUAUUUAAAUCACAUUUUUUAAAGUCUCAUUUGAAUAUACACAUUUUUUAAACUUUAAAUAUAGAUAAGCUGUAGUUUAUGCUUCAGUAAUCUCUGCUUUAUUUUCACAAUGUAUUAGUACUUGAUAUUCCUUUCAUAUUUUCUAUUCUGCCCUCCAAGAAAAACAUUGCAAGGUUUCUGGGGUUUGUGUUGGUAAUUUACAGCUAAAAGGAUUUUUUAAUGCCCAUUCUCCUACCUAUACCCACCAAUAUCAAUGGGUACAUUUUCAUAUAGCUUGUUUAGAAGGCAGUAAAGCAGCUUAGACAAAACAUCAUUGUUUAGACUAAGGAAAUGUUCAUGAAAGUGGAGUGAUUUUCAAGCCCUUUUGAUCCACAUGGGGAGCACUAGACCAAUAUCUAAAUUAAUGCAUGAUACAGAUACAUAUUUCAGUUCUGACUCAGCAUUCAUGUUGGUCAAUCCAAAACUUGGAGAAGUUCAAUAGAACUUCAUUUUACAUAUGAAGAAAUUGGGUACCUGGGAAGUAAAACCUGGCUUGGCCUGUGGUUACGUGAAACCAUUUAUAGGCUUUAUCCAUGCUGCUUAGUGUGAGCAUUCAUUCACUUCACUGCAGAAAUACUGUUUGAUCACAGCGUGCUGCCCCAGUCCCUGCUGGAGACAUUCCAUAAUAUGUGGUAUAUGGACCUAUUGCCAUUGUAAACUAUAAGGAGUUCUGAAUUCUGAAUCACACCUGGUCCCAAGGGUUUACAAUAAGGGAUUGUUGACCUGUAGUUAUUUUCUUUCCAGAAUAGUCAUCUAGGUGAUUUGGUACUUAGAAGCAUAAAUACAGUGACAAUAUUCUACCUUCUAACCUCUCCCCUUUCAGCGCAAAGCUGCAACAUGACUGGGUCAUAAGCCAGUAAACUGCCUUUGACCGCCAGAUGUUAUUGUUAACAGUAGGUAAUACACUCUUUUCUUCUGCCAGGCACAUACGCAGUUAGGCAUGCAGCAAUUGUUUAAUGGAUAAAUAAGUUGUUAAAUUAUAACACUUUGAUGGAUUGCUCAAUCCUUUAAGUAAUAGUUGACUUACAUCACCUCUUAUAACCUGAUUCUUUUGUGACAGAUGUUAGCUAGUGAAGUGGACUGUUACAGACAAUGAAGGAAAUAGAACAUUGUUUAUGAAACCCUAGAUGGCCUGGACAGGAGACUAAAUUGGAAUCCUUAAUUCCCAGUGCAGAGAGGGCCUUGAUAUUUAAGAAUAAAAAUAUUAAUAGCUGAGCUUUAUGUCAUGUGUUUAAUGUCAUGACCAUAAAGCCAUUACUGUGACACUUAAGUUUAUCUUCUAAAGGAAGCCUGUGAAAUGUUUCCAGAAUGACUUGGUUUUUAGUGAUAUUAUUGUUUUCCUUCGGGACCUGAUUCUUUGUAGAUUCCAAGAUGAUGCAGUUUCGUCAAAGGCUGUUCCAUCCUCAGUUUCUUUAAAAAUAAAAAAUACUCUGCAAUUAGGUAAAACA